rnacentral:tRNA from 1 species
GGCUCAGUAGCUCAAUAGUAUAGAGCAUCUCCGUCCUAAGGAGAGGGUUGUGGGUUAGAGCCCCACCUGAGUCA